CGCGCUCCACCGCUCUCCGCCCCAUGUAGCUCUGCGCGCAUUAACGUGGUGUUUGUAUCUCCAGCAGUACCGGUGGAACCGAACCGGUCCGGACUCAGCGGUGAGGGUUAAUCGGCCCCCUGGGGGAGCGGAUGAAGAAACACAUUUUGCUCAUCUUCACAUACCGAGGACUCCUCAGAAAAGGAAGAAAAAUAAAAAGAGAAAAUGGCCAAUUUCGUGUUACGCAAAGCGGAGCGCGAGGACGUGGCGGAUAUACUGCGACUCAUAAAGGAACUCGCCAAGUAUGAGGAGAUGGAGGAACAGGUCAUUUUGACUGAAAAAGAUCUUUUGGAGGAUGGUUUCGGGGAUCAUCCUUUCUAUCAGUGCGUCGUGGCUGAAGUGCCGAGAGAGCAGCAGAGCGCCAGUGGUCACACAGUGGUCGGUUUCGCCAUGUACUACUUCACCUACGACCCCUGGAUCGGGAAGCUGCUGUACCUGGAGGACUUUUAUGUCAUGAAGGAGUUCCGAGGUUUUGGAAUCGGGUCAGAAAUCCUAAGGUUCCUGAGUCAUACGGCCGUGAAGUCUCGCUGCAGCAGUCUGCACUUCAUCGUGGCCGAGUGGAACAAACCAUCCAUCGAGUUUUAUAAACGUCGCGGCGCGAAUGAUCUCUCGCUGGAGGAGGGUUGGAGGCUUUUCAAGAUCGACAAGGAGAACCUGAUCAAAAUAAUGUCCGAGGAGUGAAAAGAGAAAAAGAACGCGUUGUAUAUUUAUUCAACAUUUAAUUCAUACAUAGAGUUUCAUCUGUGACUGUAAUGAAUCUACACACAUACACACACACACACACUGUGGGGGUGUAUGUAAGUAUGUAUGUUUAUAUAUAUACUCUAACAGUGUGCACUUCUGUUAAUAUUUCUGUUUUGCAUGUUUAUAAACUUCACUCUUUGUCAUAAAUACAUACAAUAAACACACACUUGCUCAGUUCUUGAUAAA